UACAGAGGGUGCGAGCGUUUGUUCGGAAUUAUUGGGCGUAAAGCGCUUGUAGGCGGCUUGUUAAGUUCCGUGUGAAAUCCCCAGGCUUAACCUGGGAAGUGCGCGGAAAACUGGCGAGCUUGAAUGCCGGAGAGGGAAGCGGAAUUCCCGGUGUAGUGGUGAAAUGCGUAGAUAUCGGGAGGAACACCAGUGGCGAAGGCGGCUUCUGGCCUGUUCGUUGACGCUGAGGCGCGAAAGCUAGGGGAGCAAACGGGG
rnacentral:rRNA from 1 species